GUUUGAUGUCAUUCGUAUCCCAGAUCAAACACACAUCGCGAGGCAAAAUUAGGAUAAAGCCAAGACCUUAAUGGAAUCAAUCAGACAACAUAUGAAGUUUUUUGCAUUAAGACAUCAUGUGAUCUUCCUGUGGGUUUUCAAGCCCAAAAGUCAAAACUAUGGAUUACUAGUUUGUAUCUUGGCUAAAGAUUAAUUUAUCGUGAGGUGAAAAAUCACAGGUUCAAUAUGAGAAUAGAUAAGAUCGUUACACCUCUUUUGUUAAUGGGAAUGAACCACCGGUGAUUACAACUGAAGAUCACCUGUAAUAUCCCAUAUCCAGGUCCACGCUACAAAAGAAAACAAGUUUUCUACGACAUUCACAAUAAAGCUUAAUCCUCAGCAGCAGGAGGACAACACAACAUAAAUAACUAUGAAUCCUAAAGUUCAGUUAGUGACAUUUUAAAAUUGCCAUGCCUGCAGUUCAAGACAAUUUCAUGGAAACUAGAGACAGCUACUACAGUUACCCAGCUCUUGAACAACAGCUUCCAUAGAUGGUCUUUCAAU
rnacentral:misc_RNA from 1 species